rnacentral:rRNA from 1 species
CCUACGGGGUGCUGCAGUGGGGAAUAUUGGACAAUGGGCGAAAGCCUGAUCCAGCCAUGCCGCGUGUGUGAAGAAGGCCUUCGGGUUGUAAAGCACUUUCAGUGGGGAAGAAAGCCUUGGGGCUAAUACCCUCGAGGAAGGACAUCACCCACAGAAGAAGCACCGGCUAACUCCGUGCCAGCAGCCGCGGUAAUACGGAGGGUGCGAGCGUUAAUCGGAAUUACUGGGCGUAAAGCGCGCGUAGGCGGUCUGAUAAGCCGGUUGUGAAAGCCCCGGGCUCAACCUGGGAACGGCAUCCGGAACUGUCAGGCUAGAGUGCAGGAGAGGAAGGUAGAAUUCCCGGUGUAGCGGUGAAAUGCGUAGAGAUCGGGAGGAAUACCAGUGGCGAAGGCGGCCUUCUGGACUGACACUGACGCUGAGGUGCGAAAGCGUGGGUAGCAAACAGGAUUAGCUACCCUGGUAGUC